CUCCUAGGCCUCGCUUAAUGGCUCAAGUGACUUGAAAGGGCCUUAUCUAGUACCAGGUCAGCAAUUUCUUGUUUAGUAAUUUCUCCUCACCAUUCCUCAAGUGAAUGCCUCGUACCUCCUUCCGGCCUCUGUCCUGCUUCAAAGGUAAUAAUUAUUACCAUUUAAUUAUAUUAAUUAAUUAUUAUAAUUAUUUAUUUUUUAUUACUGUUGAAUACAUAUUUA
rnacentral:lncRNA from 1 species